AGUAAAAUGGCUGAGAUUAAGCAAUAAAUUGUAAAUUUAUUUACGAACUAAAGUUCUUUUACUA
rnacentral:tRNA from 1 species